rnacentral:lncRNA from 1 species
UGGCUAAUCUGAAGAGUCCCACUGGAUAGAGACUCUACUGAAGAGUCCUAUUGGAUGGGGCCUCUAGAGAAGAGUCUCAUUAGACUUGGACUCUAUCAUUAAUAGAGAAUUAUUUAGUGAUUAGAUUACUAAUUAGGUUAAUUUGAUUGAGCAUUAAAGUCUGGAUCAAGUUUGAUUGAAUUGGAUUCAAUCAGGUCAAGUCUGAUUAGGUUAUGAGAUGACCUAAUUGGUAAGAGAGAAAU